AUACUUUCGCAAGGCACUGUAUAUCUCCUCUCUCUUUAUCCCCUCUCUUCCUUUCCCCUCUCUCUCCUCUCACACUCUUUCUCUCUCUCCCCUCUCUCUUUCUCUCUUUCCCUAUCUCUCUCCUCUUCCCCACUCUCUCCCUCUCUCUCUCUUCCCCCCCUCUCUCUCCCCUCUGUCUUACUAGCCUCUGCUCUCUCCUCCUUUCUAUCUCUCCCAUAUUUCUACCUCCCUCCCUUUCUCCACUCUCUUCCCUCGCUCUUUCUACCCUCUCUCUCUCUUCUCUCUCUCCCCCCCUCUCUUCCCAUCUCCCUGUCCUCCCUCUCACUCCUUUCCCUCUUCCCUAUCCUCUCUCUUUCUCCUCUCUCCAUCUCCCCUCUCUCUCUCCUCCUCUUCCCUCUCUCCUCCUCUCCCCUCUCUCCUAUCCCCCUUUCUCCCCUCUCUCUAUCUCCCUUUCCCCUUUCCUCUCUCUUUCCCCUCUCCUCUCUCUUUCCCCUCUCCUCCAUAUUUAAUCUCUCUCCUCUGCUCUCCCCUCUCUGUCUCACUAUCUCUCCCCCCUCUCUCUAUCUCUCUCCCCUUGCUCCAUCUCCCUCUCUCUCCCCUCUCUCUUUCUCCUCUCUCUCUCUCUCUUCCCUUCCCUUCCCAUCCCUUACCUUCCCUUACCUUACCUCUCUCUCUCCCCUCUUCACUCUCCUCUUUAACUUCACUCUCCCCUUUAACUCGCCUUUCCCCUCUCAUCUCCUCCUUCUCUCUCCCCUCUCUCUUUCACCUCUCUCUUCUCUUCUUUCUCUCCCUCUCUCUCUUUCCCCUCUCUCCUCCCCUCUCUCCAUCUCCCUCCUCCCCUCUCUCCUCCCCCUCUCUCCCUCCCCUCUUGCCUCUCUCUUCCUCCCUCCCCCUCUCCUCUCCACUUCCCUCUCUCUUUCCCCUCUCCCCUCUCUAUCCUCCCCUCACUCGUCCACUCUUCCCUAUCUCCCCUCUCUUUCCCCUCUCCCCUCUCUAUCCUCCCCUCACUCGUCCACUCUUCCCUAUCUCCCCUCUCUUUCCCCUCUCCCCUCUCUAUCCUCCCCUCACUCGUCCACUCUUCCCUAUCUCCCCUCUCUUUCCCCUCUCCGCACUCUCUCUGUAUUGCGUUUCCUUCAGGAGAAGUUCCUGAGAAGUUCCUGGGAUGUGUCCCAAAUGACACUAUUACUUAUAUGGUGA
rnacentral:lncRNA from 1 species